CCGAACUGUCAACACGAGUUGUUGCUGGUCCUCAAAUGGGGGCAUGUGCACGCUCUGUUCACACAUCCACUCACACCUGUGCACCCUCUGUAGUUCUAUAGUCCGGGGGGCAUUGUCUUCCCACUGUAGUUCUGCGUCUUUACACACACGCCGUGAUAGAGUCUUAUUGGAUGUAUGCCGCGUGUAACGCUAUAUAAUA
rnacentral:misc_RNA from 1 species